rnacentral:misc_RNA from 1 species
GAUGAAGAACGCAGCGAAAUGCGAUAAGUAGUGUGAAUUGCAGAAUUCAGUGAAUCAUCGAAUCUUUGAACGCACAUUGCGCCCCUUGGUAUUCCAUGGGGCAUGCCUGUUCGAGCGUCAUUUGUACCUUCAAGCUUUGCUUGGUGUUGGGUGUUUGUCCCGAGGGACUCGCCUUAAAGUCAUUGGCAGCCAGUGUUUUGGUUUUGAAGCGCAGCACAAGUCGCGAUUCAAGGCUAUACGCCCGCUUCCACAAGCCUUUUUCACUUUUGACCUCGGAUCAGGUAGGGAUACCCGCUGAACUUAAGCAUAUCAAUAAAGCGGAGGA